rnacentral:rRNA from 1 species
AAAAAAAAUCUCCUCCUUUCCCAAACCAAACCUUAUCUGUUCUCCUCCUUUCCCCAAAUCAACCAGACCACCAGUCUUUCACUUGCUUCUCACUACUGCCAACCGCUGGUCGCCGGUCUUGCCAACUCUCGGCAGUGAGGGCCAUCCAGGCCUCAACGGCAGGUCCCGGGUGUUGGCUGCUUGGGCUUCUCCUUCUCUCACUGCCUUCUCCGCUCAUGCUGCAUGCUGCCGUGCAGCGGACCGCUGAUGCUGCCGCCGACUGGUAAACUAAUCGGUGAAAAGCGUUGAAGGAGCAAGACUGCUGCAAGAGAAAAGGUAACACUGGUGAAACAGCAAACCAUGGUCCAGGAGAGCAUAUCUGUAGUUAUUGGUUGUAGGCAUCUUUUGGUCAGUCCGGUGUGUUCUACAGUUGUGGCUAUGGAGCACUUUUGGCCAGUUUGGUGUUUUCUACAGUUGUGGCUAUGGAGCACUGGAUAAUAGUAGUAAUUAUCCACAAGACCAGGUACAUAUCAAUCUUGAGCACCGCGUUCCUGGUGGUGGUGUUGGCGGAGUGUGUCCGGAGCAGACCGUACCCGGUCGCACCACGGAGCCCGCCAGUGCCGCCCACGAUCGGGAGCUCCCUGACGGUAUCGAAGAUGACGUCCCUUGAGAGCACGGCCACAGAGCUCCCGUUAUGGCUCCCUGCCGUGAACACGAAGUUGGCAGUGAGCAGCAGCGCGUACUCCGUCAUCGACGCGAACUGGAAGAAGCCCUGUGCCCUGCCGACGGCGGGGGACGCUGCGUCCGGCCCCUCCGUCAGCAGGUCGUCGAUGACAUACAUGUCACCGAAGUGGGUGGUGGGGUCGUUGGCCAGCGGCACCACACCUUUGAUGAC